GAUGAACGCUGGCGGCGUGCCUAAUACAUGCAAGUCGAGCGAACGGACGAGAAGCUUGCUUCUCUGAUGUUAGCGGCGGACGGGUGAGUAACACGUGGAUAACCUACCUAUAAGACUGGGAUAACUUCGGGAAACCGGAGCUAAUACCGGAUAAUAUUUUGAACCGCAUGGUUCAAAAGUGAAAGACGGUCUUGCUGUCACUUAUAGAUGGAUCCGCGCUGCAUUAGCUAGUUGGUAAGGUAACGGCUUACCAAGGCAACGAUGCAUAGCCGACCUGAGAGGGUGAUCGGCCACACUGGAACUGAGACACGGUCCAGACUCCUACGGGAGGCAGCAGUAGGGAAUCUUCCGCAAUGGGCGAAAGCCUGACGGAGCAACGCCGCGUGAGUGAUGAAGGUCUUCGGAUCGUAAAACUCUGUUAUUAGGGAAGAACAUAUGUGUAAGUAACUGUGCACAUCUUGACGGUACCUAAUCAGAAAGCCACGGCUAACUACGUGCCAGCAGCCGCGGCAAUACGUAGGUGGCAAGCGUUAUCCGGAAUUAUUGGGCGUAAAGCGCGCGUAGGCGGUUUUUUAGUCUGAUGUGAAAGCCCACGGCUCAACCGUGGAGGGUCAUUGGAAACUGGAAAACUUGAGUGCAGAAGAGGAAAGUGGAAUUCCAUGUGUAGCGGUGAAAUGCGCAGAGAUAUGGAGGAACACCAGUGGCGAAGGCGACUUUCUGGUCUGUAACUGACGCUGAUGUGCGAAAGCGUGGGGAUCAAACAGGAUUAGAUACCCUGGUAGUCCACGCCGUAAACGAUGAGUGCUAAGUGUUAGGGGGUUUCCGCCCCUUAGUGCUGCAGCUAACGCAUUAAGCACUCCGCCUGGGGAGUACGACCGCAAGGUUGAAACCCAAAGGAAUUGACGGGGACCCGCACAGGCGGUGGAGCAUGUGGUUUAAUUCGAAGCAACGCGAAGAACCUUACCAAAUCUUGACAUCCUUUGACAACUCUAGAGAUAGAGCCUUCCCCUUCGGGGGACAAAGUGACAGGUGGUGCAUGGUUGUCGUCAGCUCGUGUCGUGAGAUGUUGGGUUAAGUCCCGCAACGAGCGCAACCCUUAAGCUUAGUUGCCAUCAUUAAGUUGGGCACUCUAAGUUGACUGCCGGUGACAAACCGGAGGAAGGUGGGGAUGACGUCAAAUCAUCAUGCCCCUUAUGAUUUGGGCUACACACGUGCUACAAUGGACAAUACAAAGGGCAGCGAAACCGCGAGGUCAAGCAAAUCCCAUAAAGUUGUUCUCAGUUCGGAUUGUAGUCUGCAACUCGACUACAUGAAGCUGGAAUCGCUAGUAAUCGUAGAUCAGCAUGCUACGGUGAAUACGUUCCCGGGUCU
rnacentral:rRNA from 1 species